GAUGAACGCUGGCGGCGUGCCUAAUACAUGCAAGUCGAGCGAACGGACGAGAAGCUUGCUUCUCUGAUGUUAGCGGCGGACGGGUGAGUAACACGUGGAUAACCUACCCAUAAGACUGGGAUAACUUCGGGAAACCGGAGCUAAUACCGGAUAAUAUUUUGAACCGCAUGGUUCAAAAGUGAAAGACGGUCUUGCUGUCACUUAUAGAUGGAUCCGCGCUGCAUUAGCUAGUUGGUAAGGUAACGGCUUACCAAGGCAACGAUGCAUAGCCGACCUGAGAGGGUGAACGGCCACACUGGAACUGAGACACGGUCCAGACUCCUACGGGAGGCAGAGGUAGGGAAUCUUCCGAAAUGGGCGAAAGCCUGAAGGAGCAACGCCGCGUGGGUGAUGAAGGUCUUCGGAUCGUAAAACUCUGUUAUUAGGGAAGAACAUAUGUGUAAGUAACUGUGCACAUCUUGACGGUACCUAAUCAGAAAGCCACGGCUAACUACGUG
rnacentral:rRNA from 1 species